rnacentral:snoRNA from 1 species
CUGUAUACAUGCAAGAAAAAAGUAUCCUUACUCCUUCUGUCUGUCUGAUUGUGGCAGUGAAGACUGAAUGGAAGAAAUAU